AUGGUGGGUGAAAUAAAAGUAGACAGCAUCAUAAAUCAUUCUGUCAUCAGCACUAUGUCUGUCAGCCACUGUAGUAAUUAUAGUGAGACUGGAAGGCUGGCUCGGGACGGCCCGCUCCUUAAACAUCCUUCAGACAAAACACUGCUAGACCCAGAUCCUGAAGCGCUGCCAAAACCAUUUCCCUACCUUUUUACUUCCUUUGAAAAUCUUCUCUCUCUCUUCAUCUAUGUACCCCUCUCAUCUGAAUUGUUGUCCCAAAUUGUUGGAUAAGUAUCUGUCUGUGGAGGUGGAUAUCUUUUGGGCUGUUUUGCUUGCUUAGGAAAAAUAUUUGUCUUUGUCUUUGCAUCAUAUAAUUUUGUAAUUAUUAUUAUUUUUUAUAAGUCUUGCUAGGGUUUUUAUAGGGUGUCAAUGAUUGUCUUCUGGACAACUGUCAGGUCAGCAGUCUUCCCCAUGAUUGUGUAGCCUAGUGAACCAAACUGAGAGACCAUUCUGAAGGCUCAGGAAACCUUUGCAGGUAUUUUGAGUUGAUUAGCUGAUUGGCAUGUCGCCAUAUUCUAAUUUGUUGAGAUAGUGAAUUGGUGGGUUUUUGUUAAAUGUGAGCCAAAAUCAUCACAAUUAAAAGAACCAAAGACUUAAACUACUUCAGUCUGUGUGCACUGAAUUUAUUUAAUACACAAGUUUCACAAUUUGAGUUGAAUUACUGAAAUAAAUGAACUUUUCCACGACAUUCUAAUUUAUUGAGAUGCACCUGUAUAUUCAUGUUAUUUAAUAAUUCUUAAGCCUGAGAACAAUACUUUAAAUUUCGAAAGUCAUCACAACCUAAAACUGAGUGGAAUAAUUCUGUCUCACUGCGCUGUUACUGUUAAUUUUCAUUUCAUUUAAUAUUACACAUGAUUAAUAAUCAGUGUUGUAGUAUGUUUUAUGUAUGUUUAAGCUAGCUGCUAUCAAUCAGAAAAUCUAAUUUAAUUUCGCCCUUAUUAUCAGUGCUGAGCUUACAGUCAUGAAUUUAUCACUGGGUCUUUUGUCUGUGAUGACAGAUGUUUGAUGUUUGGCUGACAUCAUGAAUAAAACUAUAUAAAUGUUAUGGGAUAUAUAAAAUAUUUGCCAAUGAAACGAAUCAAGGCUGUUAUCUAGAGAUCAUUUGGAAAUUUCAAAUUAGCUCAAAACUCAAGUACUUCAUUUGUCUGUUGAACAGGGCAUAUAGUGUUCUUCAAACAUCUCAUCUUUUCAUUCCAUUUGUUAAUGUACAAAGUGACUAUUACUUUGCUUUCACAUCACAUUAAAGGGAGACUCCACCCCAAAAUGAAAAUUUUGUCAGUAAUCACUUACCCCCAUGUCGUUCCAAACCCGUAAAAGCUCUGUUCGUCUUCGGAACACAAUUUAAGAUAUUUUGGAUGAAAACCAGGAGAUAUGAGACUGUCCCAAGUAAAUAACAGUGUCAAGUUCAUCCAAAAUAUCUUAAAUUGUGUUCCGAAGAGGAACGAAGCUUUUAUGGGUUUGGAACGACAUGGGGGUAAGUGAUUAAUGACAAAUUUUCCUUUGGGGUGGAGUAUCCCUUUAAGUGUCACAGCACUGUUUUCAGUGUUGCAAUGCAUCGGGGUCCAGGGAAGCUUUCUUUCGUUGCCUAUUGUUUGUUCUAGGAGGGGUUUCAGUGUUGCAAUGCAUCGGGGUCCAGGGAAGCUUUCUUUUCGUGCCAUUGUUUGUUCUAGAGGGCGACCGCGUAGUGGCUAGCUUACUCAGCAGUCUGCCUGGCCCCACCUCAUCCCUUUUAAAACAGGACUCCCAGAAAGCAACAUAGACAUUAUCCCUGCGCCACGCUGCCCUGGCCGCCCAGCUCCAGACACAUUUUUCAGCUCUGUGAGCACUGUAUUAUGACUGUGGAGACAGAAGAGAAAAAGCACUUUUGAACAUUUGUAUCUGUGCAGGGAAACGGAAAAAUGGAGGCCUUUGCAUUUAGCAUGUUUGUCUCCUCAAGAGCUGAUGCUGCUUUUCAGGGUGGAUUUGGAUAGAUUAAACUUUUUAAAUCAACACUGCAUUCUCCCACAUUUCUCAGGAUUUCUCAGCAGUGCAUAAAACUACAUAGUCAGCUCAAAUAAUAUUGUCUGUUCUCUUAUAUGCAUGAAUGUUUUUUAGUUUCUAUCUCUAAUUGAUCUCAUUUGUCACAUUCUGGAAGCAGGAUCUCUGGCUCUCAGCUGUGUUUCUGCGUGAGGUUUCUAGCCGUGGUGUUUUUAACUCCAUGGUGGGCUGACCUCACAGUGAACUGGAUUACUGAGUGAGUGUGGUGAUUUUGGAUCAGCCAGUGCUGCUCCAAUUCGGUUUCUACCACAAAAGAUCAUACCAGUUUGGGAUUCAGUCGUUUAACUUGCAAAGAAUUAACUCAAAUACUUGCCCUUUGUAUAUGUGAACAGAGAUGAUUUUCCUAGAGAAUGUUCUGUACAUCCCAUUUAACUACGACACGCUGUAAAAUCUAACAAUUGCCUUUCUUUGAGAUGGCUAAUGUAAUUAACUUGUGUAUCUCAUUUUGGCGAUCUUGUGCUUUGAGUUGAAGGUACAUUCGAAAAUAAAGAAAAAUAGCUGAAUAAGAUAAAUGAAUUACAACACUAAUUUUUUAUAUACUUCUGUUAUUAGAUUUACAAUGCUACAGUCACUAAUUAGAGUGACAAACACUAUCUUUUUAUGAAAAGAAAGAUAAUCAUUUUUGGAGGAAUUUAAGAUAAUCUGCUAAA
rnacentral:lncRNA from 1 species